rnacentral:rRNA from 1 species
AAGACGAGGAUAACAGUUGGAAACAGUUGCUAAGACUGGAUAGGAAAUUAGAAGGGCAUCUUUUAAUUUUUAAAAGACCUUUUUCGGAAAGGUAUACUUAAAAGAGGGGCUUGCGGCCACAUUAGUUAGUUGGUAGGGUAAAAGCCUACCCAAGACCUAUGAUGUGUAGCUGGACUGAGAGGUUGAACAGCCACAUUGGGACUGAGACACGGCCCAAACUCCUACGGGAGGCAGCAGUAGGGAAUUUUCGGCAAUGGAGGAAACUCUGACCGAGCAACGCCGCGUGAACGAUGAAGUAUUUCGGUAUGUAAAGUUCUUUUAUUGAAGAAGAAAAAAUAGUGGAAAAACUAUCUUGACGAUAUUCAAUGAAUAAGCCCCGGCAAACUAUGUGCCAGCAGCCGCGGUAAUACAUAGGGGGCGAGCGUUAUCCGGAAUUAUUGGGCGUAAAGGGUGCGUAGGCGGUUUGGUAAGUCUAUAGUUUAAUUUCAGUGCUUAACACUGUUCUGCUAUAGAAACUAUCAGACUAGAGUGAGAUAGAGGCAAGUGGAAUUCCAUGUGUAGCGGUAAAAUGCGUAAAUAUAUGGAGGAACACCAGAGGCGUAGGCGGCUUGCUGGGUCUUUACUGACGCUGAGGCACGAAAGCGUGGGGAGCAAACAGGAUUAGAUACCCUGGUAGUCCACGCCGUAAACGAUGAGUACUAAGUGUCGGGGAAACUCGGUACUGAAGUUAACACAUUAAGUACUCCGCCUGAGUAGUACGUACGCAAGUAUGAAACUUAAAGGAAUUGACGGGACUCCGCACAAGCGGUGGAUCAUGUUGUUUAAUUCGAAGAUACACGAAAAACCUUACCAGGUCUUGACAUACUCUGCAAAGCUAUAGCAAUAUAGUGGAGGUUAUCAGGGAUACAGGUGGUGCAUGGUUGUCGUCAGCUCGUGUCGUGAGAUGUUAGGUUAAGUCCUAAAACGAGCGCAACCCUUGUCACUAGUUGCCAGCAUGUUAUGAUGGGCACUUUAGGUGAGACUGCCAAUGAAAAAUUGGAAGGAAGGUGGAGGAUCACGUUCAAAUCAUCAUGCCCCUUAAUGAUCUGGGGCUACAAACGUGAUACAAUGGCUGUUACAAAGAGUAGCUAAAACGCGAGUUUAUAGCCAAUCUCAUAAAAGCAGUCUCAGUUCGGAUUGAAGUCUGCAACUCGACUUCAUGAAGUUGGAAUCGCUAGUAAUCGCGAAUCAGCAUGUCGCGGUGAAUACGUUCUCGGGGUUUGUACACACCGCCCGUCA